rnacentral:rRNA from 1 species
GACGAACGCUGGCGGCGUGCUUAACACAUGCAAGUCGAACGGAAAGGCCCUGCGUUUGUGGGGUGCUCGAGUGGCGAACAGGGGAGUAACACAUGAGUAACCUGCCCUUGACAGAGGGAGAACAUCAGGAAAAAGGGGAGAUUACAGCGUAGAAGAUCCUGAUGCAUGGUGGGGGUUGGAAAGAUUCGGCGGUUGGGGAUGGACUCGCGGCUUAUGAGCUUGUUGGUGUGGUAGUGGCGUACCAAGGUUAUGACGGGUAGCCGGCCUGAGAGGGUGACCGGCCACAUUGGGACUGAGAGACGGCCCAGACUCCUACGGGAGGCAGCAGUGGGGAAUAUUGCAGAAUGGGCGGAAGCCUGAUGCAGCAACGCCGCGUGCGGGAUGACGGCCUUCGGGUUGUAAACCGCUUUCGCCUGUGACGAAGAGUGAGUGACGGUAAUGGGUAAAGAAGCACCGGCUAACUACGUG